UACAGAUGGUCAUACAGUAUCUGAGGCAUAAUUAAAAUUCAGGUUGUUUUUUUUUUUCACUCCAAAUCUGGCACCAUCUAAUCAUCUCAUCCCACCAGCUCAGAUACCUUUCCCUGUGUUCCUUCCUCUCUGCUUGCUCCUUUUAAUAAGUAGCAUGUUACAGAGAAAGGAAAGAGCUUACAACCAGGAGAUGUGAGUUUUGACCCCUUAGGGUUCUUCCUCUUACUUUGUGCUAAGACUUGUUUUGAAGUAAUUAGCUCUAUUGUACCUCAGUCUCCCUAUAUAUAAAAUGUGGAAUAAUAUCUCCUCUGUACGCCUCAUGGGGUUGUAAUGAUUAAAUUAUAUGAUAGAUAUAAAAAUCCUUCGGAGGAAGGGGGAGAAAUUAAACGAUAACAGAAACAGUCACUUGGCAAUUGUUGAGGGCUAGGAAGAGAACAAGCAAAAAUCAUCUCUGAGCAGCCAAACUCAACAGUGGUUUGCCUUUGUUAUAUAUAAUUCUAAUAAGAAUUCUAAUAAUUUUUAUUUCCUGUCCCAAAGCAAAUCAGAAACAGCAAAUUAAAAAGAGGGACAGGCACAUUGAAAGAGUAAAAUAUAACACUUAAUAGCAAGAGUAUAGGCUAAAAAAAUAAAUUCUGGUAAAAGAAUUUUUUUUAAAAAAACAAAGGUCUGGGACCAUUGACUCUAGGGUCAUACAGGUCCUACAUACUUUAAUAUCUAUGAAGCUAUCACUGUAUUGUUGCAUAUUCACAGAAUCUCAGUGUUGGAAAGGAUCCCACAAGUCAGCUCAGCUAGUCCAACCCAUAUUUGGUCUAUGGUACCCCUACUAAGAGGUUAGUCAGCUUCUGUUUGAAAACUUUCAGGUACCUGCUGCCUCUCAAGGCAAAUAUUUUCUUUUCAUUGAGCCUAAAUCUGUCUCUCUGUAACUUCCAUCCAUUUGUUCCAACUUCUGCAUCUAGAGCCAGGCAGAAUGAGUUGAAUGCAUUUUACAUAGGACAUCCCUUCAAGUAACUAAGCUAUCAUGUCCUCUCCAUCUUUUCCUGGCCAGGCAAAACCCCCUAGUUCCUUCAUCUGAUCACUACAUAGCAUGGGGUCCAGGCAUUCUGCUAUCCUCAUCAUCCUUUUUUUGGCUGAGAGCAGUCCAGCUUGUCAGUAUCCUCCCUGAAAUGUGGUGCCUAGAACUAAACAUUGUAUUGCAGGUGUAGUCUGAUCAGGGCAGAGUAUAGUGUUGCUAUCUAUCACCUUCAUUCUCAACUCUAUGUUUUUAUUCUGCUGACUCAUAUUGAACUUGUAGUCCACUAAAAACAAACAAACAAACAAAAACAAAAACCCAGAUCUUUUCCAAAGCAACCAUUAACUAGCCAUAUAUGCCUUAUCCUGUACUUGUAAAGUUGAAUUUUUGAACCAAUUUCACAUUUAUCCCCAUUAAAUUUCUUCUUGUUCAAUUAACCCACCAUUCUACACUGUUAAUGAAUCAGUAAACAUUUAUCAGUUGCCUACUAUGUGCCAGGCACUCUGCCAAGUGCUGUCAAGGCCAUUUGAGGAACCAACUCUUUCAUUCCCUAGCUUCAUGUCAUUUAUAAAUUUUAUGAGUAUGCCUUGUCUGUAUGUAUUCCAAUUUUAGCAUUUGUGCUGUGAAGCAAUCAGUCAUAUCUUUACAUCUUGUCUGAAGGACAAGCAUAAGAGACUUAAUCAAGUGCUUUGCUGAAAUCUAGGUGUGCUGUGUCUAAAUUGUGCUAUCAUGGGUGACCAUUCAUUCAUGGAUGAUAAUGAACUUGAACCAGCAGUAAGUUUAAAUUAGGUUCAAUAUCUGUAACAUUUGAAAUAGGCUUCCAUUGGAAAUACUUAAUUAAAAAAAGUUUCAGUGCUUGAAAGGGUAGGCUUUAGUUAUCUGUAAAAUUUACUGGGGUCAAAUAUUUUAUUUCAUGUGAUAACUUGUUCCUGUAAUACUACUCUUUUUUCUGUUCCCCAAACCCAAGUUGGAGGUCACUACUCUUUAUUCUCUGCAACAAGAUCAUAGAAGCCACAGAAUUUUAGAUGCAGAAAGGAGCUAACCCUUGGAACACUGAGAGCCCUUGCAUGAACCACAGAAAAUAAAAGGCAUAAUUUGUCAGACAUUAAAAUAACAAAAGGGCUUUGAGAAAGGAUUAUGGUUCUGAAGUCCCACCACUAGAAUGAAUUUACUCUCUUACUGGUGCUGUAAUCUGGAAUUCUAAGAGCCAGCAGGGAAGAAAUACAUGUUGUAAUUACCUUAAACAAGCGGGCAAUGAUGAUUGCUUCUCAAGCUGCAUGUUUGAGGACAUGAUGAAAGGCUUUCUUCCUCCACCCACUGAUUUUGUCUGACUCGUAUUAAUUAGAACUAGGGCUGACUGGAGCCAACAGCCUUGCAUACAGAAUGCACAAAUGCUGUGUUAUCAGAAUAGCAGUAAAGUAAUGCUGUGUUCCACUGGGCAGCUUGCUAAACAUACAUUUUACAGACCUUAUGAAGGGUUUUGUUGUUUUUUUGUGUGGGUGAGUUGUUUUUUUUUUCAGACAAAAGCAUUUGCCCUUUUCUUUCCAGUGCUGCUUUACUUUAAAGUGACAAUACUCUUGCUUAUUUAUUUUUGUUAGAUUCUCACUACUAUCCAGUAUUUUUUUUUCAGAAUUAGUAACAGGGUGUUUAGAGCCAGAGGGGAGCUUAGAGAUCAUUUAUUUCAAUUGACUAAUUUUAGAGAAGAGGCCGCGGAGGCCCACAAGUGUCUCUCCCAGAGUGGCACAGCCAAGCUGGGUUGCCAUUCACUAUAACAUGCUGACUCUCUACACUAAUCAAGUUUCGAGAUAUUUGGCCACAGGAAUUAACCUUUCUGUCUUACUGAUGUGUGGUGAAUCUACAUGUCUUUGCAGCCCAGUGGUCAUUUUUAAAGGUGUAAGUGUUUAAGCUAUAUUGUACAAUUAUAUUGCUAGACAUCAUAGAUAUGGAUAGAGUGCCCAAUGUCAGUUCAAAUCCUGCCUUUGAUACUUUCUAUCUAUAAAAUAGAUAGAAACACCUACCUCACAGGGUUGUUACGAAGCUCAUGAAAUAAAGUGUGUACAGAAUAGCACCAGUUUUUAUUGUUGGCGUAUACGUCAUUGUGGGACAUGCUUAUAUAUUAACUAACAUAUAUUCUUUUUUUGUUCCAAUCUGAAGAUGAAAGAAUUCUUAAUGAUCAUCAAAACUCAAAGACUUUGAUAUGUUUUAAAGAUAAUUCUCCCCAAUUGUAUACAUUAAUAAAGACAUACAUUUUAAGUCCUAAAUUUUAGCUAUCACAUAUCUUCAACCACUAAUGUUGAGCCAGUUGGUACUUGAACAUUUUUCAACAUAAUAGACACACUGGGAAUUAUUUUAACACAUCAACUCUAGGAACAGGUCUUCCAGUCGUGAUGAAG